AUGCGUCACCCACCUCUGACCUCCCUCUGCAACUUCGCCCUUCUCUCCCUCCUCCUCGCGAUGGACGCCGCCACACCAUCCAAGAAGGCCAGGACGAUUUCAUGCACAGGGUUGCCGUGGAAGGUGAAGAACUCGGUGGCCGCGGUCACCGAGUCGGCCGACCAGUUCACGACGCCGGAGAAGAUGAAGAAGACGGUGGCGGCCAGGGAGUCGGCUACCUCCGAGCUGGUGACGCCGGAGAAGACAGAGCUGCGGUCGCUGCUGCAGAUGGGGCGCAGCGGCGCCGUCGUGGCGCUGUCUGUCAAGGAGGUCCGGCGGGCGGGCAGCGGCCCCGCGGCGGAGGUUGAUGCAGGGGUGGACGCGCUCGAGUCUCUUGAGAGGGAGCUCGGCGUGGGCGCCGGCGCCGGCCGCAGCCCCGUCAAGCGCAGGCCCGAGGUAAGCUGCGGGAGAGGCACCUGUCACAGAUUUGCGGUUUCAGUCUCGCGUUCUUAG
rnacentral:rRNA from 1 species